UAAAUGUUUUCUGCCAUUUUCUUUUGUUGC
rnacentral:piRNA from 1 species